AAAACGCCCAAGAACUACGAGCACAAGCUUAAAACUUAAAGGACUUGACGGUGUCCAUCUAACUAGAGGAGCCUGUUCUGUAAUCGAUAAUCCUCGUUAUACCUCACCUUUUUUUGCUUAUCAGUCUGUAUACUUUCGCGAAGCUUACCAUCUGAAUGUAUUAGUAAGCUAAAUAGUUAAAACGUCAGGUCAAAGUGCAGCCACCAAAAAAGGAAGAAAUGGGCUACAAUUUCUAUUUAAGAAUAUACAAGUACAUGAAAAUACUAUGAAGGUGGAUUUAGAAGUAAAAUGAAAAUAAAGUGUUCAAUUUAAUAAUGCCCUGGGACGUGUACACACCGCCCGUCACCCU
rnacentral:rRNA from 1 species